rnacentral:rRNA from 1 species
CAAGGCUUAAAUGCAGACUGACCGAUUUGGAAACAGAUCUUUCGCAAGACAGUUUACAAGGUGCUGCAUGGUUGUCGUCAGCUCGUGCCGUGAGGUGUCAGGUUAAGUCCUAUAACGAGCGCAACCCCUGUUGUUAGUUGCCAGCGAGUAGUGUCGGGAACUCUAACAAGACUGCCAGUGCAAACUGUGAGGAAGGUGGGGAUGACGUCAAAUCAUCACGGCCCUUACGCCUUGGGCUACACACGUGCUACAAUGGCCGGUACAGAGAGCAGCCACUGGGUGACCAGGAGCGAAUCUAUAAAGCCGGUCACAGUUCGGAUCGGAGUCUGCAACUCGACUCCGNGAAGUUGGAAUCGCUAGUAAUCGGAUAUCAACCAUGAUCCGGUGAAUNCGUUCNCGGGCAUUGUACNNCACCGCCCGUCAAGCCAUGGAAGCUGGGGGUGCCUGAAGUCGGUGACCGCAANNAGCAGCCUAGGGUAUAAGCUGGUAUCUAGGGUGU